rnacentral:rRNA from 1 species
UGAGGGAUAUUGCACAAUGGGGGAAACCCUGAUGCAGCGACGCCGCGUGGGUGAUGAAGGCUUUCGGGUCGUAAAACCCUUUUCUAGGUGACGAGGAAGGACGGUAGCCUAGGAAUAAGUCUCGGCUAACUACGUGCCAGCAGCCGCGGUAAAACGUGGAGGCAAGCGUUAUCCGGAGUUACUGGGCGUAAAGCGCGCGCAGGUGGUUGAGUAAGUGGGGCGUGAAAUAUCUCGGCUAAACCGGGAGGGACGAACCAGACUAUUCGACUGGAGUACAGUAGAGGAACGCGGAAUUCGGGGUGUAGCGGUGAAAUGUGCAGAGAUCCCGAGGAACACCAGAGGUGAAAGCGGCGUUCUGGGCUGUAACUGACACGUGAGGCGCGAAAGCGUGGGGAAGCGAAC